GUGUGCACCAUGGCCUGGACCCCUCUCCUCCUCAUCCUCCUCUCUCACUGCACAGGUUCCUUGUCCCAAUAUGUGGUGACUCAGCCGCCCUCUGUGUCUGCAUCUCUGGGAGCAACAGCCAGACUCACCUGCACCCUCAGCAGUGACAUCAAUGUUGCCAGCUGUAUUAUAUCCUGGCACCAGCAGAAGCCAGGGAGCCCUCCCCGGUAUCUGCUGUACUACUACUCAGACUCAAACAAGCACCAGGGCUCCGGGGUCCCCAGCCGCUUCACUGGAUCCACAGACGCCUCGGCUAAUGCAGGGCUCCUGACCAUCUCGGGGCUGCAACCUGAGGACGAGGCCGACUAUUAUUGUCUGUCUUACUGUAGUAGUGGUGGUAGCUCCAAUCACACAGUGCUGCAGACUCAGGGGAAAGUGUGA